rnacentral:rRNA from 1 species
ACUCGCUGAACUUAAGCAUAUCAAUAAGCGGAGGAAAAGAAACUAACAAGGAUUCCCCUAGUAACUGCGAGUGAAGCGGGAAGAGCUCAAAUUUAAAAUCUGGCGUCCUCUGGUCGUCCGAGUUGUAGUCUGGAGAAGCGUUUUCCGUGUCGGACCGUGUAUAAGUCUCUUGGAACAGGGCGUCAUAGAGGGUGAGAAUCCCGUCUUUGACACGGACUGCCGAUGCUUUGUGAUGCGCUCUCAAAGAGUCGAGUUGUUUGGGAAUGCAGCUCAAAAUGGGUGGUAAAUUCCAUCUAAAGCUAAAUAUAGGCGAGAGACCGAUAGCGAACAAGUACCGUGAGGGAAAGAUGAAAAGCACUUUGGAAAGAGAGUUAAACAGUACGUGAAAUUGCUGAAAGGGAAACGCUUGAAGUCAGUCAUGUCUGCCAGGACUCAGCCUCGCUUCUGCUUGGUGUACUUUCUGGUUUGAUGGGCCAACAUCAAUUUCGACCGUCGGAGAAAGGCUUUGGGAAUGUGGCACCUUCGGGUGUGUUAUAGCCCUUUGUUGUAUACGACGGUUGGGAUUGAGGACCGCAGCACGCCUUUAUGGCGCGGGGUUUCCCAC